rnacentral:rRNA from 1 species
GGUCUCCGUUGGUGAACCAGCGGAGGGGAUCAUUAUAGAGUUUUCUAAACUCCCAACCCAUGUGAACUUACCAUUGUUGCCUCGGCAGAAGCUGCUCGGUGCACCUUACCUUGGAACGGCCUACCCUGUAGCGCCUUACCCUGGAACGGCUUACCCUGUAGCGGCUGCCGGUGGACUACCAAACUCUUGUUAUUUUAUUGUAAUCUGAGCGUCUUAUUUUAAUAAGUCAAAACUUUCAACAACGGAUCUCUUGGUUCUGGCAUCGAUGAAGAACGCAGCGAAAUGCGAUAAGUAAUGUGAAUUGCAGAAUUCAGUGAAUCAUCGAAUCUUUGAACGCACAUUGCGCCCAUUAGUAUUCUAGUGGGCAUGCCUGUUCGAGCGUCAUUUCAACCCUUAAGCCUAGCUUAGUGUUGGGAGCCUACUGCUUUUGCUAGCUGUAGCUCCUGAAAUACAACGGCGGAUCUGCGAUAUCCUCUGAGCGUAGUAAUUUUUAUCUCGCUUUUGACUGGAGUUGCAGCGUCUUUAGCCGCUAAACCCCCCAAUUUUUAAUGGUUGACCUCGGAUCAGGUAGGAAUACCCGCUGAACUUAAGCAUAUCAUAAGCGGAGGAGUCAAG